CUUACGCGACCUCCUCCUCUUUCUCGUCAUCCCGUUGACUCCUGCUCCCUCCUCCUCCUCAUCAUACUCCUCAUCGUGCUCCUUUUGAUGUUUCCUCCUCUCCCUCCUCAUCAUGCUGAAGGGGGGUGCAGGGUGCUCCAAAAUAGGAGCCUUGCUUUUUGUCUUUUAAUGAAACCUGCUAUUCUAACCGCAAAUAACAGACAAUCUGCCACGGGAGUAGAUCCAACAGUACCUCGUUCUCUGUUGCAGCAUCAUGAAGAUCUUUGUGCUGCCCGUGCCGCGACGUCUGCAGAAAGGGCUGCUGCUGAGCUGCUGGAGAAUACCAGUGUUCUGUGUGCAUCAGUGACAGAAGAGAGACCUGAGCCCACCAACACUUCAGCAGGAGGGAGAGGGCCAUCAGAAGCAGCCACGUGCAGGAAGGGAAGACCCAGCUCACAUGAUGGCCAGUCCCCUGUUGGAUGUAGCCUGCGAGCGGGGCUGCUUUCGGGAGGAAGGAAGAGGAGAGUGAGAAGAGAGUGACCGUGGAUGGGCAGAUGUGCAGCAGCUGCCAGCUG